GAUGAAGAACGCAGUGAAAUGCGUUAAGUAAUGUGAAUUGCAGAAUUCAGUGAAUCAUCGAAUCUUUGAACGCACAUUGCGCCCCCUGGUAUUCCGGGGGGCAUGCCUGUUCGAGCGUCAUUUCACCACUCAAGCCUCGCUUGGUAUUGGGCAACGCGGUCCGCCGCGUGCCUCAAAUCGACCGGCUGGGUCUUCUGUCCCCUAAGCGUUGUGGAAACUAUUCGCUAAAGGGUGUUCGGGAGGCUACGCCGUAAAACAACCCCAUUUCUAAGGUUGACCUCGGAUCAGGUAGGGAUACCCGCUGAACUUAAGCAUAUCAAUAAGCGGAGGA
rnacentral:misc_RNA from 1 species